rnacentral:lncRNA from 1 species
CAGCCAAGCAGGCACAGACAACUGGAGCCUGUCAGACCAGAACCCUGCUGCCCUGCCCUGACAUGCUCCAGAAGCAAGAGCUAAGGAGCGCCAGCAAAUUUCACCAGAGACAACCUGUACAGAUAAGUAUCUGUCCUAGAAGGUGUCCAAGGCAGAUUUCAUCAAGGCCCUUGAAAACCUGCUGACACUCUUUACUGAUAAGUUCUUCCAGAAGUCUUUCACUCCUUCACGGUUUGUUGCCAAGAUCAAGUGAGAGAACAGGUUGAUGCUCCUGUCCUUUGUACGGGAAGAUGCUGCUUCUACCUCUUUUCUCUCGUUGUGUGGAUGAGGAUGCCCCAAAUCAUCUUACAGCUGCAUCAGUCCCCCUUGUGGUCAACUGCACUCAGCUACAGGACGACCGAAAGGUGC